UCCCUGGUGGUCCAGUGGUGAAGACGUCAUGCUCCCGACACAGGGUGCCUGGGUUCGAACCCUGGUCAGGGAA
rnacentral:tRNA from 1 species